UACAUAGGUGGCAAGCGUUGUCCGGAAUGACUGGGCGUAAAGGGAGCGUAGGCGGUCUGUUAAGUUGGAAGUGAAAUCCCGGGGCUCAACCCCGGAACUGCUUUCAAGACUGACGGACUUGAGUGUAAGAGGGGUAAGCGGAAUUCCUAGUGUAGCGGUGAAAUGCUUAGAUAUCGCGCAGAACCCCGAUUGCGAAGGCAGCGUACCGGCUCCACACUGACGCUGAGGCACGAAAGCGUGGGUAUCGAACAGG
rnacentral:rRNA from 1 species